rnacentral:rRNA from 1 species
GACGAACGCUGGCGGCGUGCCUAAUACAUGCAAGUCGAGCGGACUUUCAAGAAGCUUGCUUUUUGAAAGUUAGCGGCGGACGGGUGAGUAACACGUGGGCAACCUGCCUGCAAGACGGGGAUAACUCCGGGAAACCGGGGCUAAUACCGGAUAAUAUCUUCCUUCGCAUGAAGGAAGGUUGAAAGGCGGCGCACGCUGCCGCUUGCAGAUGGGCCCGCGGCGCAUUAGCUAGUUGGUGAGGUAACGGCUCACCAAGGCGACGAUGCGUAGCCGACCUGAGAGGGUGAUCGGCCACACUGGGACUGAGACACGGCCCAGACUCCUACGGGAGGCAGCAGUAGGGAAUCUUCCGCAAUGGACGAAAGUCUGACGGAGCAACGCCGCGUGAGCGAAGAAGGUCUUCGGAUCGUAAAGCCCUGUUGUCAGGGAAGAACAAGUACCGUUCGAACAGGGCGGUACCUUGACGGUACCUGACCAGAAAGCCACGGCUAACUACGUG